GUCUUAUGCUCUCUGAACCAAAAAAGCAGGUUGCGGAAUCCGGCGAGAAUGGCCUCAGCGACAUCGUUUGCAUCAGGUGGGGGAAGUCUUCGUUUUGUGCAGCCCGUUUCCUACGAUCGGUCCAAUGGAAGGCAGCAGAUCUGUCUCAGAAUUGGUUCGCAACCCAAUUCCAAUUCCUUGCUGGCGAAGUCCUUAAGAUUGGAACCAAAAGAUGAAUUCGCCAAUGGGUUCCCGAGAUUUGGACGGCUUGUUGUCUGUUGUAAAUCUAGUUCGCCUGUAACUCCAUCUCGAAAUGUUCUUCCUUUUUCUUUCUAGUUUUUACAGCCAGCGGAAGAGUUUGAUUUUGUCGUUUAACUUAAUAGGCUUGAGAGGCAAGCAAAGGCCAUGUCCUCCGAGGGGAGAUGGGAAAAGAUAGUGGAGAUAGAGCAUCUGAUGAAGGCAUAUAUCCUUAUCGUUGUGUAAUUUUAAUUGUUGUGAUUGUUUUUGAGUCACGUUUAUGAAUGCAUUAUGUAAUUUAAUGUAAUGGCUGCAGAUUAAUAACGGGGAAUUCAGUGAGUCACUUGGCAAGCAAUUGCAUACAGUGUAAAAGUGGCAAAAAAGAAGCAGCAUGGGAGUCGGAUUCAGAUUGUGGAGACAGAGCAUCUCAUGAACGGUAUAUUGACUGAGCAGAAGCAAAUUUGCGUCUUGGUAAAGCUCCAGAACUAGAAGAGUUACUGGAAGGAUAGUUGAAGCGUGACUUGGAUAUGAGUUUUGGUGAUUUUGCUGCUCCAGUUGUAUUUUCCAAGGCUGAGGUUGGGAUCAAGGCCUUCAGGCCUAUGCUAGAGGCCAUCUAUAAAUUCAUCCAAUGCCACCCACCACCCACACCCCACAAGGUUGUUGUUGGUGAAUCAUCAGAACCAGAUCUUGUUUUGAUGCAAGGACCUUAUUUGGAAAGUCGAAUUGAACGAGCUAUUCAAUAUAAGAAUGAGAAUGGUGAAGCAUAUGUCCAGAUUAAUUAAAUAUUUGAUUCUUGCUUUCACACAAGAUGAACGGUUUGGAAAGAAGUUCAUUAAGGAUUUUCAAACACCCCAUCAAACUUUGACAUCUUUAAAAACUAAGAUUGUCCUCCCCGAAGAGCUUCAACGUUUUUCAGAGGAAUCCGAAUAUGAGACAAAUAUGGAAGAGAUAGACGAAGAGAUCGAGGACUGCUUGUCUUCCUUCAAGAACGAAUAUAAUACUGUUAUAUUUACUCGUAUCAUAUACCUUCACUUAAUCAAACAAAAGUUAUGCAUACCAAAAUGUUUGUUU